GGACCCUGAAGCACGUCGCACUAGGGUCCAGUCAGAAAAGGGUUUUCUCCCCUCGCUUCUUUGUAAGAUUACAUUUAAGAGGCAGUGCCAUUGAUUUUUCUUGUGUGGAAGUCAGGAAAAUAAUUUUAAUUAUUAGGAAAUGAAAAAUACAGCUGCCUACAGCUUCCAGCCAAUGAAUUAACUCCAACAGGCAAAACCACAUGAGGCGGCAAUGUCCUGCUCGUGACGGAUCAUGGGCUUACGCCCAUGCUUCGCAGGGAAGCAUGCACCCUGGAGAGUGGAAAAGCUGUCUCCAGUCUGGAACAGCCGGGUGAUGACCGAGGCUAAGAAGCCCUUGGGAGAGGAGCUGAGCAGCUACUGUCUGUGUGGAUGGGCAGUCCUGUGUAGACAAAGGAGAGAUGGGCUGGAUGCGGAAAAGCCAAACCUACAUCAUUACAGACCGUGGUCCUGGGACGUGGUGGCUUCACUGAUGGGAUCCGUGGGGCACUGAUCAUUCCAGCACAGCUACGGUGUAUUGAGGCUUUUCUUUAACAUUUAGGCAUUUUACAUGCAAUAUCUCGUUAACCCUUGCAGCAACCUGGUGACCAGGUAGGGAUGGGUGUUUCACAUUAACUCCAGGUCAUUGGUAAGUCAGCUGUGACGCAGAAAUUAAGAAACUUGUCCAAGUUUGUGUGAGAGUAAAGGGCCGAGAAGAAACUGGAACUGGGAUCUGCCUCCCCAGGGAGACUCGCUUUGAGUCUGUUUUCUGUUCUAAAGGGCAGUUCGGGUGUGGCCUCGCGGUGCCGUGACACUGGAGCUAGUUGCCUGCAAGGUAAGGGGAGCAUUUUAUUCAGGGUGGGCCGUGUCUUAAAGAUCAGACAUUGAGAGUCCUUAAGAGUCAUAUUUACAAAGGUUGGAUGCCAUCCUGUUGAAAGUUUUACCCAUGUUUAUAGUUUCACAGACUUUGCAUGUGAAAUUUUACAAGCAGACAAGUUAAAACAGAGUUAAACAUUAAGUUUCUGAUUGAACUUGUAUCUUCUUCAUUGAAUUUUUUUUUAAGAAGAGAGAGAGAGAAUUUCAAAUGUCACAUACCCCAAAGCAGCCAUCUAGACCCAAGUGAAGAUCGGCACAGAAACUUAAUGAGACAUUUAUUAGUUAUUGUCUCCAGGUAAAACAUUUACUUAGAAAGCUGUUGUUCCACCGUGACAGAUGGUCCUGUCUUCCACGCUAUAAUUUCAAAGCAUUAAUAAUUGGUAUCAAUCUCUAGCAAUUGAAGUUCACACCUUCAUUGCAUGAGAUUUGGAACAUAGGUCAGAGAAUGCAUGUUUUUCAGUAAGGAUUUUUUAGUAAGGAUUUUCCCUUCCCCAGAGCUAGAGCUUAUAAAAGGGUAAGAUUUAAGCUCAUGGCUUAAGGAUGCUAUUUAGUGAGUCCCGCUGAAUUUCAAACGUAGCAGGGCGUGCCACAUCAAUGUCAUUUGGAAGUUGAAUUUAGGAGUUCCCGCUGUGGCUCAGUGGGUUGAGAACCCAACAUCGUCUCUGUGCAGAUGUGCACUCCAUCCCUGGCCUCGCUCAGCAGGUUAAGGAGCUGGCAUUACUGCACGCUGCAGUGUAGGUUACAAAUGCGACUGGGAUCCAGCGUGGCUGUAGCUGUGGUGCAGGCCUGCAGCUGCAGCUCUGAUUCGACCCCUAGCCUGGGAACUUCCAUAGGCUGCAGUAAAAACGAAAAUAACAUUAAAAUGAGUAAAGCUGAAUUCAGAAGCCUGACUAAAUGUAGCAUUUCCCUUAGGCAUUGUGUAGAUUUCCAUUCGUUUGCAGCCAUUCCUCUCCGAUCUUAAAACGAUCACAUCUAAAGGAUGAGACAGUUUGUCCGGUGUUCAGAGAAGGAACCAUACACAUGUAACUGUCCCUUGGGGGUGUGGACCGUAUGCAAAUUUCCAUUCACACAAUACAAAAAUACACUUUAUAUUUGUGUGAUGGGUAAAAGACAUAUAUACUAUGUUAUAGACUCCAAAGCUUGGCAACCCGAGAAUUAGGAUACAUAUCUAUUCCAGCGCCUCCGCCUGGUGGGCGAUGGCUGGGGGUGGAGCCUGGGGGCCCCCAGGGACCCCUGCAGAGAGACUCCUCUGCGUGGGUAGCUCCAGGUAGGUGUGUGCCUGCCCCACACUAAUGCAGCGCAGUUUCCAGGUGCUGGGGCCCCUGUGAGACACUGUUGCCCUCCUGAGUUGACAAGCCUGGCCAAGGAGAAGGUGUCUGCUACGUUGUGUUGUCCCUUCAUGUUAUAAGAGCUUGAUUUUAGGAUGAAAAUAGGUCAACAACUUUUUAAAAAAAUUUUGUUGGCGUGUAGUUGGCUUACAAUGCUCUAUUAGUUUCAGGUGUACAACAGAGGGGAUCCGUUAUUCAUAUAAACAUAUCCAUUCUUUUUCUCCCACGUAGGUUAUUACAAACCACAGAGUAGAUUCCCCCGUGCUCGACGGCAGCUUCUUGUUAAUCAUCUAUUUUAUACAGUAGCGUGUGUAUUAUUUUUCCCCUCCCACUUCCUCCCUCCCCACAAUUGCUUCCCCUACGGUAACCAGACGACUGACUUUGAAAUCUGUGAGUUUGUUUCUGUUCUUUGAACAACUACCAGAACCAGUGUGAUAGAGAGAAGAUGGGAGAUGAAGGAAGAAAAAGGCUCUGGACACUCCCCAGGCCAGGGGGAAGGCUUUACACCUGCUUAAGGACGAGAAGAGGCAUUUUAAAAAGUGACAGAGAGAGAAAUUCUGUUUCAUGACAUUAAGGUACAGAGACUGUGUGAGUGGCUGCAGUGUGUUUGCUUACAGAGACCCACACUUUCUGAGCAAGAGGAAAAGGCUGCGGUGCAGAGAAGAGGCCCCGGAACCUGGGACCAAACAGCUCCUGCCUUGGAGGCAGGAAGCCGUGACUGGGGCACAGAGAACCGACGGUCGCUGAUGUGGAGACUGGCUGUCUGUUCUAACUGAUACGUCCAGAAAAACGCCCGAUUCUGUGGACCACUGUUCAUUUCCAUAAGGACGCUUUGCAGAUCAGAUGAAGCUGAGCAAAGGGUAUUCACUCUGCUCCCGAAGAUACUGUGUAUGCGGAAGCCCCAGUAGCGCCUAGUACGACUUGACUCUCUCCAGUGCCAAGCCCCAAUAUAUUCUCUGAAGAAAAAUGUUUUUUGAACGUGCUCUGAUGAAGGAGCCCAGGCAUCCAAGGAGACUUUGAAUCAUGCCGUCCUUCACCUUUUCCCCUUAAGAGUUGUCUUUAUACCCUUACGGUUUAUGGUCUUGUGCGAGGAAAACUCGUUUCAUUAAAAAGAAAAA
rnacentral:lncRNA from 1 species